AACACUAUGGCAUGUCCUCAUCCACCUUAUUCAUGGGAUCUGACACCUUGAGACUUCUGAUUCUUCCCCAGUCAAGAUGACCACGAAAAGAAAAUGUGUUGAAUUGAAUCAGGACAUCAAGGCAGCUAUGACAGUAGAACUAAGGACACUCAACAAAAGAAGUCUCCAGAGUUGCUGCAGAAAGUGGCAUGAACAACGAGAGGAAGUGCAAGCCCAAGCCUUGGGGCCACCUUUGACUCCUCCUUUGGCCAGCUCCUCAUCAAAUGGCCCUAAGCCCCACUGGCCACCUCUCCAGCCAUCUGCUAC
rnacentral:lncRNA from 1 species